GACUCUGGUCUCUUCACUACGCAAAGCCUUUCGCCUUUACUAAAGACUUCCGCGGAGAGGAACACCUACGAAGUUCAACGUAUUUUUGGAAGGGCUUUGCUUUCUGGCAGAGC
rnacentral:snRNA from 1 species